UGGACUGUAACUGACGCUGAGGCACGAAAGCGUGGGGAGCAAACAGGAUUAGAUACCUGGUAGUCCACGCUGUAAACGAUGGAUACUAGGUGUAGGGGUUUAAAGACUUCUGUGCCGGAGUUAACGCAAUAAGUAUCCCGCCUGGGGAGUACGGCCGCAAGGCUGAAACUCAAAGGAAUUGACGGGGGCCCGCACAAGCAGCGGAGCAUGUGGUUUAAUUCGAAGCAACGCGAAGAACCUUACCAAGGCUUGACAUCCCACUGAAGUAUUUAGAGAUAAGUACGGACUCUUCGGAGUACAGAGGAGACAGGUGGUGCAUGGUUGUCGUCAGCUCGUGUCGUGAGAUGUUGGGUUAAGUCCCGCAACGAGCGCAACCCUUAUCUUUAGUUGCCAGCACUUAGGGUGGGCACUCUAGAGAGACUGCCGGGGAUAACUCGGAGGAAGGUGGGGAUGACGUCAAAUCAUCAUGCCCCUUAUGUCUUGGGCUACACACGUGCUACAAUGGUCUGAAACAGAGGGAAGCGAAGGCGCAAGCUGGAGCAAAUCCCACAAACCAGGCCACAGUUCGGAUUGUGGGCUGCAACCCGCCCACAUGAAGCCGGAGUUGCUAGUAAUCGCGAAUCAGCAUGUCGCGGUGAAUGCGUUCCCGGGCCUUGUACACACCGCCCGUCACACCAUGGAAGUUGGGAGCACCCGAAGCCGGUGACCUAACCGUAAGGGAGGAGCCGUCGAAGGUGAGCUUAAUGACUGGGGUGAAGUCGAACAAGGUAACCA
rnacentral:rRNA from 1 species